CUCCGGCGGUAAAAUCUAGACUUGCAAUCAGAAGGCAUAAACGAGGAUUAGAUACCCUCUUAUUCUUCUGGCCAAGGUAGUAACUAGCUAUGUUCUUCAAACCUAAAGGAUUUGGCGGUGCUUUAUCCCAUCAGAGGAACCUGCUGAUGAAAUUACGCAUUAAAUCUUACCCGGGCGCCUGUAUACCGUCGUCUAGAUAACACUAGAAGGUUUUAUCACAUUUAUGACAGAUCAAGGUGCAGCCUGCUCGGGGGUUACAAUCUGUAUUAAGUUGGAUUUGAAAGUAAGGUUUAUAAUACAGGCGAAUCGGCAAUUGAGCAUGCACAUAUCGCCCGUCACUCUCA
rnacentral:rRNA from 1 species